rnacentral:rRNA from 1 species
AGAGUUUGAUCAUGGCUCAGAUUGAACGCUGGCGGCAGGCCUAACACAUGCAAGUCGAACGGUAACAGGAAGAAGCUUGCUUCUUUGCUGACGAGUGGCGGACGGGUGAGUAAUGUCUGGGAAACUGCCUGAUGGAGGGGGAUAACUACUGGAAACGGUAGCUAAUACCGCAUAACGUCGCAAGACCAAAGAGGGGGACCUUCGGGCCUCUUGCCAUCGGAUGUGCCCAGAUGGGAUUAGCUAGUAGGUGGGGUAACGGCUCACCUAGGCGACGAUCCCUAGCUGGUCCGAGAGGAUGACCAGCCACACUGGAACUGAGACACGGUCCAGACUCCUACGGGAGGCAGCAGUGGGGAAUAUUGCACAAUGGGCGCAAGCCUGAUGCAGCCAUGCCGCGUGUAUGAAGAAGGCCUUCGGGUUGUAAAGUACUUUCAGCGGGGAGGAAGGGAGUAAAGUUAAUACCUCUGCUCAUUGACGUUACCCGCAGAAGAAGCACCGGCUAACUCCGUGCCAGCAGCCGCGGUAAUACGGAGGGUGCAAGCGUUAAUCGGAAUUACUGGGCGUAAAGCGCACGCAGGCGGUUUGUUAAGUCAGAUGUGAAAUCCCCGGGCUCAACCUGGGAACUGCAUCUGAUACUGGCAAGCUUGAGUCUCGUAGAGGGGGGUAGAAUUCCAGGUGUAGCGGUGAAAUGCGUAGAGAUCUGGAGGAAUACCGGUGGCGAAGGCGGCCCCCUGGACGAAGACUGACGCUCAGGUGCGAAAGCGUGGGAAGCAAACAGGAUUAGAUACCCUGGUAGUCCACGCCGUAAACGAUGUCGACUUGGAGGUUGUGCCCUUGAGGCGUGGCUUCCGGAGCUAACGCGUUAAGUCGACCGCCUGGGGAGUACGGCCGCAAGGUUAAAACUCAAAUGAAUUGACGGGGGCCCGCACAAGCGGUGGAGCAUGUGGUUUAAUUCGAUGCAACGCGAAGAACCUUACCUGGUCUUGACAUCCACGGAAGUUUUCAGAGAUGAGAAUGUGCCUUCGGGAACCGUGAGACAGGUGCUGCAUGGCUGUCGUCAGCUCGUGUUGUGAAAUGUUGGGUUAAGUCCCGCAACGAGCGCAACCCUUAUCCUUUGUUGCCAGCGGUCCGGCCGGGAACUCAAAGGAGACUGCCAGUGAUAAACUGGAGGAAGGUGGGGAUGACGUCAAGUCAUCAUGGCCCUUACGACCAGGGCUACACACGUGCUACAAUGGCGCAUACAAAGAGAAGCGACCUCGCGAGAGCAAGCGGACCUCAUAAAGUGCGUCGUAGUCCGGAUUGGAGUCUGCAACUCGACUCCAUGAAGUCGGAAUCGCUAGUAAUCGUGGAUCAGAAUGCCACGGUGAAUACGUUCCCGGGCCUUGUACACACCGCCCGUCACACCAUGGGAGUGGGUUGCAAAAGAAGUAGGUAGCUUAACCUUCGGGAGGGCGCUUACCACUUUGUGAUUCAUGACUGGGGUGAAGUCGAACAAGGUAACCGUAGGGGAACCUGCGGUUG